GGAGCCGGAAGAGGGCGCGGUUAAUAGGGGUGUGGCCUGCUGCGCGGGGGCGGGGCCUGCGGCGGGCUGAGUCUUGGCUAGAGACUGGUCCCCGCAGCUGCAGGUCAACUUAAGCCAGGAGCUUGGGAUUCCUCAAGGGCCCUCGGGGAAGUCCGGGAGCAGGGAGUGCGGUUCCUUUCCUGGCCCCCAGCGUGUCUGUGGAGCUGACCCCUCCCACGCACAGCUCUGCCUAGGGUCUGGAGAGGGUAGUCCCACCCUGAGGAAGGGGCUCAGGAGGCGCGGGGUGGCUGAGCUCUGCGACCAUGAAGGUCAAAGUCAUCCCUGUGCUUGAGGACAACUAUAUGUACCUGGUCAUCGAGGAGCACACGCGGGAGGCUGUGGCCGUGGACGUGGCCGUGCCCAAAAGGGCCCGUCCCCUGCCUGGGGCACUGUGCACCCGGGCCUGGCGCCCCAACACAGGCAGCCACCUGGACCACCUGCAUCUCCCUAACUCCCAUCCCUUUCAGCUGCUGGAGAUCGUGGGCCGGGAGGGGGUAUCACUGACAACUGUGCUGACCACCCAUCACCACUGGGACCACGCCCGGGGCAACACGGAGCUGGCGAGGCUGCUGCCUGGCCUGGUGGUGCUGGGCGCAGAUGAGCGCAUCUGUGCACUGACCCGCAGGCUGGUACAUGGCGAGGAGCUGCGGUUUGGGGCCAUCCACGUGCGCUGCCUCCUGACGCCCGGCCACACCUCGGGCCACAUGAGCUACUUCCUGUGGGAAGAUGAGUGUCUGGACCCGCCCGCCGUGUUCUCGGGGGACGCAUUAUCUGUGGCCGGCUGCGGCUCACGCCUGGAGACCACAGCUCAGCAGAUGUACCACAGCUUGGUGGAGACCCUGGGCACCCUGCCCCCUGAGACAAAGGUGUUCUGUGGUCACGAGCACACACUGGGCAACCUCGAGUUUGCACAAAAAGUGGAGCCUUGCAACAACCACGUGAAGGCCAAGCUAUCGUGGGCCAAGGGUCUAGGCUCAAGCCCCCAGACUGGUAAGCUGAGCCAAGCUGCCUGGAGCUGCCAGACAAGGCUGUGACAAAGGCCUGUGGUCAUUCCAGAAGAGGGAUGAGGAUGAUGUGCCCACGGUGCCCUCAACCCUGGGCGAGGAGCUCCUUUACAACCCCUUCCUGAGGGUGGCGUGACUUCAGUGACGUGGAUUCCAAAGAGCUCCUGGGCUGCAUGCCGGAACACGUGCUCCAGGCUGCCUCGUGAACUCAACCACCUCUGGACACCAACACAUACCACGGGGCAGAUGCAAAACCAACCAGAAGGAAGCUGAGGCAGAGAAGAGGGGCGAGGACAGUGCCUGCCCCUGCCUCGUCCCUUCUGCUGCCCACCAGGACACCUCCGACCCCAAGGUCAAGAGCACCCCAAUGCUGGACAAGCUUACUGCCCCUGACAUGGCAGGCACAACGUACAGACUGUCCAGGGGAGCCGACUCCAGCUCUGACAGUGAGACCCCUUCUUCUUCCAGCAGCUUGAAGACUUCUCCUACGAUGAGACCACAGCACAGACAGACGCUCUUCAGCUGAAUCUCAACAAAAACAGAGACCAUGAAAGGUCCCCACCACCUGCAUCCCUAGCAACCUGUGAGUGGCCAGACGUCCAGCCCCUGCUCGUGAGUGGGGGAUGAACCCAGCCAGAGGCAACUCCACUUCUGAAGGGCCUCCCGGUGCUGUGGUGGGGCAGACGCGCCUGACCCUGGGGUGCCUCGCAAUGCGCCUGGAGUGGGCAGGGCACUGCGUCCCUGGACAGCGACCCUUCCUGGAUCGUCUGCCUCCCGGGUGGGCAUUCAUUUUUCUUUUAAGCAUUUGGGAGCCUCUGCAAGGCUGCUCAACUCACAGACGGGGUGACCAACAUGAGCCAGGGGGAUUGUGCUGGGCCUUAUGCUGGGGACACAGCGCCAGCAGGCUCGGGGCCCCGCACCUGUUGUGAUGACACAAUCCACAUCGCGUGUCUGGUGCUCUUGGCUGAAGAAGUCGGGUCUGGAGGCUUCCAGCUUUUUGUCGUAGCAGGGCAUCACCGUCACGUGGUAGAUCUUGUCGGGGGUCAAAUGCUGCGUGGAGAACACGGCAGUGGUGCAGCUGCCUGGCCCCAGCAGCAAAGGCUGAGGCGGGGGUGACAGCACAGGCACGGCUGGGAGCACAGUUCUGUGUGUGGGUCCUGACCACUGCAGUCUUGGCUCAUUUUGUAAGAUGUCCCUGUUACCUGCUGCUGGGAGAAGAAGUCCUUGACCAGGGAGCCCAUGACCUGCUGCGGGGACCGGGCGGUGCUGAUGUAGGGGAGGAGGACGUUCCCGUGGGUCUUCUCGGCGUAGCAGAUCCAGCCUGAGGCCGACACAGGGUGGGGGUGGUGGGGGAAGCAAGCAGGGCAGGGGUGUGACUUUCUGGGGUGGACCGACUUGUACAGGAGUUAGGAGCCCACUAAGCCCCCACUGUGCUGUCGCCGAUACGUAUCUCAGGUGUCCCUAUGAUCACCCCUCUGGGAACUGAAGCGACUACAGGUGACCCUCAGGCAGUGCCUGCUGACGAGCCCCUCCCCCAGCACUCCCGUCACCCAUGUCCAGCUGUUGACAUCGGUCCGCAGCAUCAGCAUACCUGGGCAGGCGGAAGUCAGCACAGGCAAGGCCUGCUUGGAAUCGGCUUGUGCUCGGAAUCGCCGCACGAACUCCCACUGGCUCUCGAGGAGGCUGAAGUUCCUCGAGAAGGCGGUAUCAAACACGUAGUGUGCCCCUGCAAGGGAGCACCCACCUCACCCCAAGAAGGAUGGCCACAGCCCCAGGCGCUGCCCACCUCGCCCCGGGAGCAGGGCUCUGCCUUCCCGUGGGGCGUCACAUGACACGCUGGUGUGCAUGCAGACAGCCCGGUGUCCUUGGGCUUUCCUUCCUUUGAGCUCAGUGGCUGCCAGGGACCAGGCCAAACUCUGCAUGCUGCCUAGGGCAGCCGCCGGCACCGGGGCUCACCCCACGUCCUCCCAGCCCUACUCCCAGCACGCAGAGGUCGACCAGCUGAUCUGAGCCAGAACCCAACUCAGACCUGGGAGAUGUGCCUUGAUGGUGAUAGUUUAAAAACAAUAUUAGGAGUGGGUAAAUUCCAGACUCGGGGAAGUGCAACAUCAGAAUUCAGACAGCUUUCUAUUAAAAGGCACUGCUCUCUGUAUCAAAACAGAACUUCAA